AUACGGAGGGUGCAAGCGUUACUCGGAAUCACUGGGCGUAAAGCGCGCGCAGGCGGCUUGAUAAGUUGGAUGUGAAAGCCUACGGCUCAACCGUAGAACUGCAUCCAAAACUGUCAGGCUAGAGUGCGGGAGAGGAAGAUGGAAUUAGUUGUGUAGGGGUAAAAUCCGUAGAGAUAACUAGGAAUACCAAAAGCGAAGGCAAUCUUCUGGAACACUACUGACGCUGAGGCGCGAAGGCGUGGGGAGCAAACAGGAUUAGAAACCCCGGUAGUCC
rnacentral:rRNA from 1 species